rnacentral:rRNA from 1 species
UGCCAGCAGCCGCGGUAAUACAGAGGGUGCAAACGUUGCUCGGAAUUACUGGGCGUAAAGCGCGUGUAGGCGGAUUCGCAAGUCGGGUGUGAAAUCCCUGGGCUCAACCUAGGAACUGCAUCCGAAACUGCGGGUCUUGAGGAUUGGAGAGGGAAGCGGAAUUCCGGGUGUAGCGGUGAAAUGCGUAGAUAUCCGGAGGAACACCAGUGGCGAAGGCGGCUUCCUGGACCAAAGACUGACGCUCAUGUGCGAAAGUGUGGGUAGCGAACAGGAUUAGAUA